CUCUGCCUUGUACCUGAUCUUAGUGGGAAACUUUUAAGUUUCUCACCAUUAAACAUGAUGUUAGCUGGAGGUUUUUUGUAGAUAGUGUUUAUCAAAUUGAGGAAUUUCCCCUCUGUUCCCAGUUUACUGAGAUAUUUUAUUAUGAGUGGGGGUUG